CCUACGGGUGGCAGCAGUGAGGAAUAUUGGUCAAUGGACGCGAGUCUGACCCAGCCAAGUAGCGUGAAGGAUGACUGCCCUAUGGGUGUUAAACUUCUUUUAUAUGGGAAUAAAAUGUUCCACGUGUGGGAUUUUGUAUGUACCAUAUGAAUAAGGAUCGGCUAACUCCGUGCCAGCAGCCGCGGUAAUACGGAGGAUCCGAGCGUUAUCCGGAUUUAUUGGGUUUAAAGGGAGCGUAGGUGGAUUGUUAAGUCAGUUGUGAAAGCUUUCGGCUCAACCGUAAAAUUGCAGUUGAAACUGGCAGUCUUGAGUACAGUAGAGGCGGGCGGAAGUCGUGGUGUAGCGGUGAAAUGCUUAGAUAUUACGAAGAACUCCGAUUGCGAAGGCAGUUCACUGGACUGCAACUGACACUGAGGCGCGAAAGUGUGGGUAUCAAACAGGAUUAGAUACCCGAGUAGUC
rnacentral:rRNA from 1 species